AUUUUAUCUUAGCUGCAACUAUCUUUAACAUCUGUGCUUUUUCAUAGUGGAUAGCUUUGAAAUAUCCCGGAAUUGCAAUAUAUGUGGAUACCUGCAGAGAAUGCUAUGAAGCUUAUGUAAUUUACAACUUUAUGGGAUUCCUUACCAAUUAUCUAACUAACCGGUAUCCAAAUCUGGUAUUAAUCCUUGAAGCCAAAGAUCAACAGAAACAUUUCCCUCCUUUAUGUUGCUGUCCACCAUGGGCUAUGGGAGAAGUAUUGCUGUUUAGGUGCAAACUAGGUGUAUUACAGUACACAGUUGUCAGACCUUUCACCACCAUCGUUGCUUUAAUCUGUGAGCUGCUUGGUAUAUAUGACGAAGGGAACUUUAGCUUUUCAAAUGCUUGGACUUACUUAGUUAUAAUAAACAACAUGUCACAGUUGUUUGCCAUGUAUUGUCUCCUGCUCUUUUAUAAAGAACU
rnacentral:lncRNA from 1 species